GACGAACGCUGGCGGCGUGCUUAACACAUGCAAGUCGAACGGAAAGGCCCUGCUUUUGUGGGGUGCUCGAGUGGCGAACGGGUGAGUAACACGUGAGUAACCUGCCCUUGACUUUGGGAUAACUUCAGGAAACUGGGGCUAAUACCGGAUAGGAGCUCCUGCUGCAUGGUGGGGGGUGGAAAGUUUCGGCGGUUGGGGAUGGACUCGCGGCUUAUCAGCUUGUUGGUGGGGUAGUGGCUUACCAAGGCUUUGACGGGUAGCCGGCCUGAGAGGGUGACCGGCCACAUUGGGACUGCGAUACGGGCCAGACUCCUACGGGAGGCAGCAGUGGGGAAUAUUGCACAAUGGGCGGAAGCCUGAUGCAGCAACGCCGCGUGCGGGAUGACGGCCUUCGGGUUGUAAACCGCUUUCGCCUGUGACGAAGCGUGAGUGACGGUAAUGGGUAAAGAAGCACCGGCUAACUACGUG
rnacentral:rRNA from 1 species